GCUCCAAUUUCUCCUCGGGAGACGCAGAGGAAGGGGAAUUAGCGCUCUGCCUCCCGACGCCCCGGCUUCUGGGAGCGUCAGAGCAACGGAAGUGCUGUGUGAGAGCAGAGCCUGCGGACCAGUACAGGCAAUGUGAUGCAGUGAGGAGAGACUGUCUCUGGGCUCCUUCAGGCAAGUGGCAUCACUGCUGUGAACCUCAGUUACUUCUCCUAUAAAAUAAAAGCCAAAGCAUCUCACCUCUUGGGGCACCUGGGUGGCUCAAUCAGUUAAGUGUCUGACUCUGGAUUUCAGCUCAGCUCAUGAUCCCAAGGUUCAUAAGUUUGAUCCCUGUGGGAUUCAUUCUCUCUCUCUCUCUCUCUCUCUCUCUCUCUCUCUCUGCCAUUAUCUCUCAGAAUAAAUGAGUAAACAUUAAAAAAAAUUCUAAUCUCACCUCUUUAGAGGCUCUUGAAAUCUCUACAAUUGAAUAAAAUGUUAGAAGGGAUAUUUGUUUUGUCUUGUUAUUAGGAAGAAAACUAAAGUGAAUUAGAGUUACAGGGAGGCAGGUGUCAGCUAAACAUAGAGAAAGACUUUCUAAUAAGGUUGAGUUGUCCAACAACAGCAUCAGCAGUCUUAGGAAGUAGGAUCCCAAAAAGAAAGAAUUCAGCCACAAAUUAUGUCUGUAAAGAAUCUCAUUAAAUCACCUCUGUUCAGCCCAGCACUACUUCCUUUGGGGAGCCCCCCAUCCCUGGUCCACAUGACCCUCAUAGAUGGCUGCUCACUGCGCCUGCACCCAUGUCCCCAGCAGGCCCGGGGGCUAAGGCUGGCCAAUCAGAAUCAUUCGCCCCUAGAGAUGAUUAGUCCAGGGUGGCCACAUCACUCAGCAGGUCCUGAGAUUUGGCAUACAUAUAGAUAAUGAUAGCUCUUGCUAGAGCAGGGAUGGGAGUUCAUAAAGGAAGCUGUGCCUAAAGCAUCCAUGUGCCAUUAUAAUCUUGUGUUUGCUUAAGUCAGUUUGGGCUGGGUUUCUGUCACAUGCAACCAAGUGAAUUUCAACCAAACCACACCAUCCUGUGGCUCCCCUGACCCCACCAUUAACCUAAGUGCCCAAGUUUAAGACAGAAGCCAACCUUGGAGGCCUCCCUAACCCAGUCUCUUAUAAGUACCUAGUCACGAAUUUUUUUUCAGCUUCCUAACAUCAUAAUGGAUGUGUAUUCCCCCAAGUGCCUCCUAUAUCCCUGUUACUAUCUCUAACUGUACCAUGGCACUUCUGUCCACAGUCUCUCCUCUUUCCAUCCACUGUGGAGUCUUCACUGUGGAACCAGCUUUGCUUCCUGAUGCAAGGAUGCUGCCUCCCCCUACCCCCCACUGGUUUUCCAUAGGCUGUGACUCUUCAUCUUCCAAGCUCUUUCCCAAACCCAUAUUUCCUUGCUCAUGGGUAUAACUUGUGCUGCAUCGCUCUGCACCUGUAGAAACCCAUCCAUCUCACAGACCAUUUCCUCCAGGAAGCCCUUCCUAAUUGCCUCUCCUGUGAAUCUGCUUGGCCCUUUUUUCCUGAAUCUUUCAUAUUCUUCUCUACUUUUAUACUUAUUUUAUAGCAAUCUUGUAUCCCUACAAGCCCACAAACUCCUCAAGGGAAAAUAGUAUGUUUUACUGGUCAUUAAGACCUGUCAAAAAAUGUCCUGAGCAGUGUAGGCAUUUAAUAUAUACCUGCAGAGUUGGACUAAACUGAGUUUGAAAGGGCUGAACCAGUUGACCUCUAAAUUCCCUCUCACUCCAAGACCAUAUGAGAUCAUAACAAAUGCUUUUCAGCAUCUGAGAUCUGGAACUUCUAUUGUGCUUUCUUUUUAUAAAAAGAAAGUGAAUCCCUCAAAAUUAAUUUCAUAUAGUAUGUGCUGUGUGUGUGAGUAUGAAGUCAUAACAGCAAGGCUCCUAAUAGCUAUGAAACUCAUGGCUUCUAGUACUUAUAAUGUCUGCAUCUGUAAUGCAUGGAGAGAAGGCAAGCAGGAGCCACACCCAAACACACCGUCUGCAGGCCUGGGACCCUCCCAACAAACACCUUAGUUUUGACAUCAGUUCUCCCUUCUCUGCAAAGCACAUAGACUUCUCUCCAUUCAAAAUCUGCCCCUCCAAAUCAUUAUCUAUUGUUCUGAUCUCCAGAGCAAGCCCUCUGGUAUAAUUAGCCCUGAGUCUAUUAUCCAUCUAUGCGAGCACCCAUUCAGUUGGUAGAGCACUGUCCUACACCCCAGAGAAUCAGCAGGCUGAUCAUAGUCCAUCUUCAGUAUAUGAAGUCUAUUUGUGAAGUCAGGCCCCCUACUGAAACAUUUUACCAUGAAGGACAAUGGAAGAGUCAGCCAGGAGCGUUCCAGGGAGGAGGUGUUUCAGUCUCAUGGAUAGACUCAACUUGCCUGGGAUGAAGGAGAGGAGACGACCCUCAAGGGAGAGAGAAGAUCAUCUAUAAGGUCAAAGGUGGAGUGUGAGGAAUCAAGAGGAAACCUCACUGGCAGAACAGGGAGCAAUGGGUUUGGAGAGUAUGUAGUCAAAGACACAGCAUGAAAGCACUAGAAAGUCAAAGAUUGGUUGGAUCCUGAGGGCCCUGAAGAGCCAUCAAGUGUCUCUCCCAGGGCAUUGCAAUGUUUAGAAAGUUGGGCAGCCCUGAAAUGCAGUCAUCUGGGGCAAGGAGAAAUCUGAACCAGGGAGACACAAGAUAGGAGCUUAUUGGUUAACAGAUGACGUAAGGUGCACCUCAACGUGAAUGAACUAAAUACCCUUGAAUACCUAAAAUGGUUAAAAUGGUAAGUUUUAUGUUAAGCAUAAUUCACCGUAAUUUUAAAAAUAGAGAUAAAAAAUAAAGUAGCAUGGGAGUAGGGGCCCAGGUGCUAAGGACCUUUGGCCCUACAGGAGGAUGUGCAACAAACAGAUGGAAAUACGAUAGCUAAACAAGUAUGGUCACAGAGUGAGAACCAGCUGUUGGCACAGCCCCACACUGACAUGGAAUCCAUGUACUGCCUCCCUUUUACAGGCAAGGAAAUUGAGGCAGAGAGAUGAUAAGUAACUUGCCCAGGGUCCCACAGCUACCCAGUAGAAGAGUCAGGAUUCGCAUUCAAAGAGCAGAACUCCAGAAUCUCUUUUAUAUCCACCCAACCCCUGGAGCUCAUGAAUAAGGCAAGAGCUGAAAAUGCACACUUGAAAUCAGCAGCUUCUAGGCAGCAGGAAGACCCGGGGGAGGGAGUGCUUUCAUCCGUGGAGAAGAGGCGAGGAAAGCUUUCAGAGGGCAGAGCCCUGGGGAGCACUGCACUGCAGGGGAGGUGAGGAAAAGCAACAGAGAGGAGGAACACAGACACUGAGUGGCCAUGAGAGUCGGAAAAGAACUGGAAAUGGCAGUGAGAGCAAGCGGUCACCCCACUAGUCAGCAAAGGAAAAAAGGCAGGUGUGAAGGUAUUACUAACUAGAAACCAAGACUAAAACCUGCAAUGUCAACCUGCAAGCUUCAGGAGAGCCACACACAUCCACAACUGUCUCUAGUGCCUCUCCAUGCAGCCUGCUAUGUCUCCCAGCUUGUGCUGUUGAGCCAAGAUUGUGGGCUGCAGAGUCAAAUAGGCAUAAGGUCAAGCCUCUUUCUAUUGCAACCAGUUCCCUGUCUGUGCAAGUUACCGAGGCUGCCCAAGCCUGCGUAUUCAAAGUGAGAUGAGUUCAACCUACUGUAUCAUUUUGACAGGGGCUUCAGUAAGACAAUGUUCAUGGGGUGGAGGCUGUCAAGGCUCUGAUCACAUGUUCUCAACCCUCACUGCCCCAGUCCAUUACUAAACUGGGGGUCUCUGCCCUUGGGAGAUUUCUGUGACCACAUGGAGUCUUCUCUGCUCAAGUGCAUGUGACCAGCUCUAAAUGCCAGGGUGACCCUCAGCAAUGGCAGAGGACAGUUCUCUUGCCCCUUGGGAAGGACAGCCCUACACUGCCUCCCCCAAAUCCUCCAUGAGUUUAGCUUCGAGUACCCACAGUGCAACACUGUUGACUGACCUCCCCCUCUGUGUGUCACGCCCCUGCAGAUCUUGUCCAGGACCCUCUCCUAAACAUACCUCUUGCCUCCCAUCCUUCCCUUGGGAUCUGCUUCUGGGGAAAAACCCAAACCAAAGCAGUGUACAAUAUACCGAGCAAAGGGUGGGCACUCAACAAACGUAAACCCUCUUCACCAAAAGCGUGUUCCCCUCCAUUUCCCUUCAAAAGUAUAUAUUUAAUCUUCAUUUUGAUUUUAUCCCUCUCUCAUGCCACACAGAUGCUUUGUCUGACUUUCCUGAAUUGAAGCUCCUUGAGGAUCUGGAUUUAAGCUUGUAUCCUCCCCCACAAGCAAGCACAGUAGGUACUCAGUAAACACUUGUUGAAUACAUACAUAAAAAUAAAUGCCUCCUCUCACUGGGUAGAUGCAGGAGGAAGAAGAUCAAGAGGAAUCAUGGAGACCCUCCCCUGAAAAAGGGAGCCUGGAGGGGCCAAUUUAAGGGGCCAGAUAACAAGUUUUAUUUUAGACACAUUAGUUUGAGGUGCUGGCAGGCCAGGGAAGUGCAAAUGUCUGGAAGUUAGGGAUGUGAUUCAGAGCUCCGGAGGGAGAUAGAGUUGGGGAUGUAAGUCUGGGAGUCAUUUUCCUGGAGGUGAUGGAUGAAGCUUCAAUGAAAAGAGCAAGCAUGGUUUCUUCCUUGGAACCUGCAGGGAAGAGUUUUUCCCACUUCCUACAUGGAGGACAAGGGAGGAACCUGCACCAGGGGGUCUCAUCUAUCACUCUCAGUUGCUCCUAACACUUUCCAUCUGCAGCUUCCAAAAUGCUUCACAGAUGUGAUUUAGUGCUACACAAAUGUUGCCCUUCCCAUUACAGAGAGGGUGACAGGAACAUUCUCAAGCUUGCAAAAUGCAUGCCAUGCAUUUACUUCACUAGAGCAACCGUCCCAGGUCACUACGGUGUAAAUGUCAUUAGUCCAUGUACAGGAUAUGUUAUUGCUCCACAGAAGCUCACUUUUGUUCCUUAAUGUUGAGAUACCUGGAUGCCUGCUUUGCCAGAAUUUGAACUACUUUUUAGCCUGCAUAAACUGCCCCAUGUGAGUUGGCACUUUCUUGACUGUAGGUGAGGCAGCAAGGCACCUUCUGUACUGGGAAGAAAUACUUGCAUGCUCCGACUGGUUAUAGACAGGUGAGACAGGUAUCUGCUGUAUGUGGAAAGUCAGUAGGACUGUUUCUGCGACUUGACAAAAGCUAUCCUCCCCACCCCACCUCCCCUGCCCACCCCCCCCCCCCCCGCCGUAUCUCUAGGUAUAUAAAGCUGAGAGGUUGUCAGCCAGUUUCCAUAGUCUCCUCAGCCCUUCAUCAAGAUACUGUUUUUACUGAAUAGUGCUUUGGAAGGAGAAGUCACCCAGAGUGUAAGCAAUCCCCCAUCAAAAGAAGUGAAGGUGGUCUGAUGACCUAGGUCUUGAUGGUCAUGGGUCAGCUAACCCAGCUGAGCUGGCUGAGGCUGGAAGAUCCUCCCUACCAGCAUCUUGGAGGGACAAUGGGCACAUGUGUGAGGGUAACUCAAGAGAUGCCUCCUGGGGAGGUGGCCCAAGGAGAGGGACUGGCUGCUGGAAUGUCUCAUGGUCAUCCAGUUACAAUUGCCCCUGUUCUGAAAGUGAGUGAGCCCAGACCCCAGACCUGGUGGAUCAUGCCAAGUGAGCAUACACUGGGUUCCCCCUCUUCUCUCCCAAAUGAGCAGAGGCAAGGCAACAGCAUCCUGAAGGAUGCCUGAAGCCAGCAGGGCCACCAUGGGGAGUAGAGGCAGCGGGUGCUGAAGGCCUCAGGCAGGCAUUUACAGUCUCCAGUUCUCCCACUGCAUGUUUAGGAAACAGCCAGCCCCCUUUAGGCUGGUAAUUCUUGGACAAUGCAGAGGGAGGUCCUGAGGCAAAUUUUAAUCUGCUCAGGUGGAGACUGAAGUGAUUACCUGGAACAUUAACAUUUGAACACGAAUUUGUUCAAACUGAUGAAAUAGAUCAUUCAAUUAAAUAAAUAUCUAAGGCAAUGAACAUUUUACUCUGAUGAGGUAUCGCCUUGUUACUGACUGUAGUUUCCAUAGCACUGUGACAAAAAUAUUUCAAAUUCUUUUUGGGAAUUAAAAAUAAUCCUGCAGUUGUCUGUUUUCUUUCACAGUCUUCAAAAGAAUUAUAAUAAAUUCUCUUCUCCAAUUUGGAGACAUAACACACUUUAUUUUAGUUUGGCUCAAGAACUUGGAAAGUACUUAAACUUAUAUGCAUGGUACAGUUAUUAAGCUAAAGCACUGCAUUGGUAAUAUGUUUAAUACAAUAAAGAAAAUCCCAUAUUUAAAUUACAGCAUAAGCAAAAUGAGUAAAAAUUGAAUAUAAAAAAAGCUUCCAGAAUAAUCAUAGCAUAAUUGACAUUGAAUAAUAUUUAAUAUCUAAAUUCAUGUCUUGGCAGAAGUACAUCCUAAAUCAUCCAAGGAGAAGUUGUCAAUUAUAAAUAAUACUGAUGUGUUUUCUAGAAAAAUGUGAAUCUCUUUAUGAAAGAUACAGAGCUAAAGUAGAAUAAUCAACCUCAUGAGAAAGAGUAAUGGAAUCUUUUCACAGAUAAAAUGAUAUUUGGCUUCUUCUCAGGAAAGUUUAGGAUUUUAUUGUGAAUUUGCCAAGAGUUGUUUUUAUUCUGAGCUGUGGUGAAAUACAUAGGCCUUUCUAGAAUAAAAUAGAUAUUGAAAAUUUA